UUGACCUCGGAUCAGGUAGGGAUACCCGCUGAACUUAAGCAUAUCAAUAAGCGGAGGAAAAGAAACCAACCGGGAUUGCCUCAGUAACGGCGAGUGAAGCGGCAAGAGCUCAAAUUUGAAAUCUGGCCCCUCCGGG
rnacentral:rRNA from 2 species